GAUAGGAAUAGCAGGGGGUAGGGGACUAGAGAAGGAAUAGCAUUAGGAGAAAUACCUAAUGUAGAUGACGGGGUGAUGGAUGCAGCAAACCACCAUGGUAUGUGAAUACCAAUGUAACAAACCUGCAUGUUCUGCACAUGCCCAGAAUUUAAAGUAUAAUAAUAAAAAAAAGAAAAUAAAUAAAAUUAAAUUUAAAAAGGUGAUAGUAGACUUUGACAUACUUGGGAGAAAACUAUUUUCAAUGGAGCUUAAAACCCAUAAAUAUUCAAAACACGGAAAAUUGUCAACUAUAUCAACUAACAUUUCUAUCAACAAACCAGGCCCUGAUCAAUAAGAUGAAUACCUUAUUUGUAAGAGCUUGUGGGACAAAGGCCAUGCUUCAGUCGUCUCUCUUACUCACAGUACCCAAAACAGUUCUUAACACUUAACAGUGUUUAACACUCAAUAAAUACAUUUGCAGUUGAAAUCCAAUAGUUUAUAAAGGAUAUACAUCAAAGUGUUAAAUUAUUCCUUUGAUGAUAAGACUACAGUUUACUUUUAUGUUCACUUUUUUGGUCUCUAUUUUGUAUUUCAAUAAUGAUUACACUACAUAUGGUUUACUAAAGAGAUCAAGAGAUGAAUAUGUAUUAUUUUAUUGUACUUUGUAUCUUUUUUGCAUUUUAGGUUUAAAAGUGAUCUUUGUUUAUAAGAACAUAAACAAGGAAAGCUGCUUAACAUUCUAAAGGGAAAUUACCUUUAAAUUGUAAAGUGAACUUCCUUUAAAUUUAAAAAAUAUUUAUAUUUAAAAUCCCCCUUGGGAAAGAUUAUUAAGUCUCUAUAAGGAGAAAAGAGGGAAGGUUUAAUCUCAUCAUUUCUUAAAUAUUUUUCAAUUAAGUAAUUUAAUAUUAACACUAAGACCUUGGAGGUUGUGCUUGAAUUUGAGAAACUAAUAAUUAAUGGAACUAAUGACCAGGAGCCAUGACGUAUGUUUUGAGAAUGCCUACAGGCAGCAACAGCAGGUAAGAAAAAAACAUAACUGAAAGCUUCAUAAAACAGGUUUGAGGUAUUGUUUACUGGUAGUUGAGAACAACUGAAUAUUUGGUCUGCUGCUCCAAUAUCUAAUUUACCUUGAAACAUCAAAUACUUAGCUUCUAAAUUGAUGGUUGAAGAACACCAAUAGAAGUAGCUCAUUAAAAUUCCCCAUCUUAAGGAAUUUCUUUUAACAACUGAGAAUUUGUUUUUAAAUAUUUAUAAUCUACAGGGGGUCUAAUCAAGGAUAACCAAAUCAUGGGCUAGUAUGUUUUUUUGUGUUUAAUUUAUCACUGAAACUGUUGUGUCUUUUCAAAUAUUGUUAGGUUUGUGGGGUUUGUUGGUUCAUUUGUUGUUUUUGUGACAGAGUCUUGGUCUGUCGCACAGUCUGGAGUGCAGUGGCACGAUCUUAGCUCAC